rnacentral:misc_RNA from 1 species
UCCGAGUUGUCCCCGGCAGUCCUCUUAGAGUCCCCGGCAUUACCCGCUGGCAACUAAGAGCAGGGGUUGCGCUCGUUGCGGCACUUAAGCCAACACCUCACGGCACGAGCUGACGACCUGCGUCAUCCCAUAUCUCUAUGGGGCAGGACUAUCCCUUCACCCGAUCGUCAGAAUCGGGGCCGGCGUCUUGCAUCACUUGCAGAUUUGAACUUGCGUUCAGAUAAGCGAUGCCGUUGCAGUCUCUACAGGGUCACGCGACAGCGUUUCUUAGCAGCAACACUCUGACGUGUUCUGUCGCGGACUUCCCUCGGUAUUGCCCUUCUCCAACCGUGAGUCAGAGGGAGGGUUUCACCGAUAUGAGCCGGUGACAAA